CCGCACAGAGCGUUUCGGACAGUCGGGCACUGCUUAUGCAAUAAAGAAAAACAACAAUACAGCAUGUUUCUCUGCUCCAAGACAUCCGCGGUCCUUUCACACGGUUCUCAGUCAUCCAGCUCAUGGUUGUCUAAGGAGCCUGGAAACACUUCAGCCACCUGGAAAUACCCAGCCUGCAGAAGGAGACGUCGUUCAGGUUGCAGGACUUGGUGGUUAUAGAGUAAAUGCCACCGGCCACACACUCCCUGAUGAACCACCUAAUCUUCAGUGUGCAGACAUGUGUGUUGCUGACUGUGAGCCUACCAGAUACUCUCAGUGUACUGCAUAUGUGCCAUAUAACAACAGGCUGUGUCUGGAAGAACAUCAAGUAGAUGCACGUGGGGAGGAGGAGAGUGGAGCACAGGUGGACAGCAGCCAUGGGAGCAGAGAGCACAGAGUUUUGGGUGAAGACAUGACACAGGAGUCGAGGGAGCUCAAGGGAUUAUUGUGUUGUCUUAUUUACUCCACUGUAAAUAAAGAGCACUGUCCAUCGC
ensembl:lncRNA